GAUGAAGAACGCAGCGAAAUGCGAUACUUGGUGUGAAUUGCAGAAUCCCGUGAACCAUCGAGUCUUUGAACGCAAGUUGCGCCCGAAGCCAUUAGGCCGAGGGCACGCCUGCCUGGGCGUCACACGUCGUUGCCCCCCCAUCUACUCCUUCGGGAUUGCGGGGGGCGGAUGAUGGCCUCCCGUGCGCCUCGUCGCGCGGUUGGCAUAAAUGCCAAGUCCUCGGCGACGCACGCCACGACAAUCGGUGGUUGCGAAACCUCGGUUGCCCGUCGUGUGCGGUCGUCGCGCAUCGAGGGCUCGAAAAAAUUGCCGGGCUCCGGCUCGGCUUUCAACGCGACCCCAGGUCAGGCGGGUUUACCCGCUGAAUUUAAGCAUAUCAAUAAGCGGAGGA
rnacentral:misc_RNA from 1 species